GUCCUGGGGAAGUGUCAGUGAUGCCUGCUGCCAAAAACUGGGUUGGAUUUGUAUGAAGCUUCGGGACAGGGUAAUCCAGCUGAUCCAGUGCGAUGACUUUGACAUGUAAUAGACCAAGGAGUUCGUGUCAGGGUAUGGAGCCUUCAACUUGGACUGCCAGAUGUAGAAUAUCCAAUGGAGAAUUCUGAGGCCCAAGGUGAUUUUAGAACUACUACACGGAAGGAGCCUGUCCAGAGAUCUGCACUGUACUGCGAUCUGGUGCAGAUUGAGAAUUCUAGCAGUUUGGGAGAAGUUAAAGCCUCUCAACAGGGAACACUCUGCAUUUAAAGGAUCCUGUAAACUGCAGCACCAGGAAAACCAUAGUCCAAGUCUUCAUUCUUCAGCUUGCAGUCACGUCAUCACCAUAUGCUGUACACUAGAGUAUUUAUGGCUUGAAUCACACAUGGAGCCAGUCUUAUCUCAGGCAACCAUGCUGUCUGCAUCAGUAUAAGAUAAAACUGUGCUAAUGACAGGAGGGCAAGU
rnacentral:antisense_RNA from 1 species